AGUGAACGCUGGCGGUAGACCUAACACAUGCAAGUCGAACGGCAGCACAGUAAGAGCUUGCUCUUACGGGUGGCGAGUGGCGGACGGGCGAGGAAUACAUCGGAAUCUACUUUUUCGUGGGGGAUAACGUAGGGAAACUUACGCUAAUACCGCAUACGACCUACGGGUGAAAGCAGGGGAUCUUCGGACCUUGCGCGAUUGAAUGAGCCGAUGUCGGAUUAGCUAGUUGGCGGGGUAAAGGCCCACCAAGGCGACGAUCCGUAGCUGGUCUGAGAGGAUGAUCAGCCACACUGGAACUGAGACACGGUCCAGACUCCUACGGGAGGCAGCAGUGGGGAAUAUUGGACAAUGGGCGCAAGCCUGAUCCAGCCAUACCGCGUGGGUGAAGAAGGCCUUCGGGUUGUAAAGCCCUUUUGUUGGGAAAGAAAAGCAGCAGGUUAAUACCCCGCUGUUCUGACGGUACCCAAAGAAUAAGCACCGGCUAACUUCGUG
rnacentral:rRNA from 1 species